UGUAACAUGUUUUCCUUGUCUUUUCCACAGCCUGAGAGAAUAGACCCAAGUGCCUCCAGACAAGGCUAUGAUGUCCGGUCAGACGUAUGGAGUUUGGGGAUAACACUGUACGAGCUGGCGACUGGGCGGUUUCCCUACCCAAAGUGGAACAGUGUGUUUGACCAGUUGACACAGGUGGUGAAGGGAGAACCUCCACAGCUUACCAACUCAGAAGACAGGCAGUUCUCCCCAAAUUCAUCAACUUUGUCAAUCUGUGCCUAACAAAGGAUGAGUCAAAAAGGCCAAAGUACAAAGAGCUUCUGAAACAUGCUUUCAUUCUGAUGUAUGAGGAGCGCUCAGUGGAUGUUGCCAGUUACAUCUGCAGAAUCCUGGAUCAGAUGCCUACUUCUCCCAGC